rnacentral:rRNA from 1 species
AGCGAACGCUGGCGGCAGGCUUAACACAUGCAAGUCGAACGGGCGUAGCAAUACGUCAGUGGCAGACGGGUGAGUAACGCGUGGGAACGUACCUUUUGGUUCGGAACAACCCAGGGAAACUUGGGCUAAUACCGAAUACGUCCGUAAGGAGAAAGAUUUAUCGCUGAAAGAUCGGCCCGCGUCUGAUUAGCUAGUUGGUGAGGUAAUGGCUCACCAAGGCGACGAUCAGUAGCUGGCUGAGAGGAUGAUCAGCAUCACUGGGACUGAGACACGGCCCAGACUCCUACGGGAGGCAGCAGUGGGGAAUAUUGGACAAUGGGCGCAAGCCUGAUCCAGCCAUGCCGCGUGGAUGAUGAAGGCCUUAGGGUUUGUAAAGUCCUUUCGGCGGGGGAAGAUAAUGACGGUACCCGCAGAAGAAGCCCCGGGCCUAACUUCGUGCCAGCAGCCGCCGUAAG